GAUGAACGCUGGCGGCGUGCCUAAUACAUGCAAGUCGAGCGAAUGGAUUAAGAGCUUGCUCUUAUGAAGUUAGCGGCGGACGGGUGAGUAACACGUGGGUAACCUGCCCAUAAGACUGGGAUAACUCCGGGAAACCGGGGCUAAUACCGGAUAACAUUUUGAACCGCAUGGUUCGAAAUUGAAAGGCGGCUUCGGCUGUCACUUAUGGAUGGACCCGCGUCGCAUUAGCUAGUUGGUGAGGUAAUGGCUCACCAAGGCAACGAUGCGUAGCCGACCUGAGAGGGUGAUCGGCCUCACUGGGACUGAGACACGGCCCAGACUCCUACGGGAGGCAGCAGUAGGGAAUCUUCCGCAAUGGACGAAAGUCUGACGGAGCAACGCCGCGUGAGUGAUGAAGGCUUUCGGGUCGUAAAACUCUGUUGUUAGGGAAGAACAAGUGCUAGUUGAAUAAGCUGGCACCUUGACGGUACCUAACCAGGAAGCCACGGCUAACUACGUGCCAGCCGCCGCCGUAA
rnacentral:rRNA from 1 species